GGAUGAAGAACGUAGCGAAAUGCGAUAAGUAAUGUGAAUUGCAGAAUUCAGUGAAUCAUCGAAUCUUUGAACGCACAUUGCGCCCUCUGGUAUUCCGGGGGGCAUGCCUGUUCGAGCGUCAUUAUAACCACUCAAGCUCUCGCUUGGUAUUGGGGUUCGCGGUUCCGCGGCCCCUAAAAUCAGUGGCGGUGCCUGUCGGCUCUACGCGUAGUAAUACUCCUCGCGAUUGAGUCCGGUAGGUCUACUUGCCAGCAACCCCCAAUUUUUACAGGUUGACCUCGGAUCAGGUAGGGAUACCCGCUGAACUUAAGCAUAUCAAUAAGCGGAGGA
rnacentral:misc_RNA from 1 species